rnacentral:rRNA from 1 species
UACAGAGGGUGCAAGCGUUAAUCGGAGUUACUGGGCGUAAAGGGCGCGUAGGCGGUUAUGCAAGUGAGAUGUGAAAUCCCUGGGCUUAACCUAGGAAUUGCAUUUUAGACUGUGUAACUGGAGUACAGUAGAGGGUGGUGGAAUUUCCGGUGUAGCGGUGAAAUGCGUAGAGAUCGGAAGGAACAUCAGUGGCGAAGGCGGCCACCUGGACUGAUACUGACGCUGAGGCGCGAAAGCGUGGGGAGCAAACAGG